rnacentral:lncRNA from 1 species
UAUUAAGAUUCACUCAAGAUUACAAGAAAAAUAAACUUGAAAUAUUUGUAAAUUUCGUCAUUUUUCAUCAGCCGUUAGGAUUAAUUUUUAAUCUGACAACGCCGCUCUGUUGUUAUAGUAUUUUCUAUAGUAGGGGAAUUGGACGCGGUCAACAGUGUCAAUCAUGUGUCAAUACUGUCGAUAAACAGCUGAUUGGCAUGAUCAGCUGUUUGCCGUGCUUUUAUUUUUCCAUAUUUCUUAACUAUUAAUAAACUAUUAAUGUAUAAUUGUUUCAUUUUAUAUAAAAGACCAAAAUUAGCAUUUAAAAUGGGUCUACACUGGCAAAAUGUGUGAGAAUAAAAGAAUUUAAACAUCGUCAUUUCAAAAGUAAGUACUGUUCUGUGGUAAUACAACAUCUCGUUUUAUUUACCUAAAAUAUUUACCAUGUUUGUUAAAAUUUGUUUAUUUGUUUUAUAAUAUAAUUUUGUGAAUAUAAUAUAUUAUGUAUAUUAUAAGAAGUAAUGUUUAUAUUUUUGUUACAAUAUUGUCCGAUUUAAAAUCGUAUAUUUGUAUUUAAUUAUGAAUACAAAUGAUUUGUAUGUUUACAUAAAUUAUAAUUGAUUUCUAAAAGAUAGUGAGAGGAAAAUUAAAUGGUUUUCUCUGUUAGGAUUUAUUCAUAGCAUAAUAUUAAAAAGUCGAGCAAAAGAGAACUCAAGAACAGCUGAUUUUUUUUAUAAGGAAUUGAAGAAAAUAUUUAAAAUCUGAUGAUUUUCACAGCCAUUUAUGUCGCGAUUUGUGGUCUUUCAGUUGUUUCAACAUCACCUAGGAAAUUAACAUUAAGAUAUCAGGAUCCUGCAUAUAACGAGAUAAGAACUAUGAUCUUGUUAGGAUACCUAUUCCGUCACAAUAUGAAGUGAAGAUAUUCAUGGUGUGGAAGUCGUUACUUUAAUUACAUAGUGCAUAUGAAAUUGGUCCUUUACAUCAUGUUUAAAAUUGACGUAAUGCUACUAUGCAAAAUAGUGAGAGAUGUGAACCCUAGGCAGAGCUACAGAAUUACUUUUGUUGAGAGACAAAUUAUGAUAGUGAUUAGAAUCGCAUAUUCUAGACUUUUACUUAAAAAAUGAUUUGUUCGGAAUGAACUUUUAUAGUGUGGAGGAAUACCUGCAAAUUAUAAUAUGAGGCCUACGUAUAUGAUAAUUUUAUUAUGAUCUGUUGUGUUUGUUUUUUUAUAUUUUGUAUUAUAUAUUUGUGUUAGCUUUAAGAAUUUAUUGACUAUUCCUAUACAAUUGUACAUUGUUUUAUGGAAAUAAAUAAAUGAUUGAUUGAUUGAAUAAGUUAGGAAACCAUACGAUCGAGAAAAAAACGGCUUCAAAGGCGACUGGGGAAUGAAAAUAUGAUAAUUUCAGUGAGGUCAAGCCCUAGAAGUCAUUUUCUUGGCUCGUACUAUUUUUUAAAGGCGCUCUAAGGUUGUAAUUUAUUUUUACAUUAAGUAAAUAUGAUUUUUAAAUGGUGUAGUUUAAGAUUGACCUCGCUAAAUUAUCAAUCGUCAUUCCUCAGCCGCCUUUGACGCCGUUUUUUUUAGACUAUUUGCUAUAACUAUGUUAUCUGUUAUGCAAAUACAUAUGUCAACAAGUAAAAAGCCAAUGAGAAAUUAGUUUCUGCUUGGAUCCUUACAGUGGCAUUUAACAAAAUAUAUAUUUUUUCAGGUUACAAUAUUUUAUUUAAUAUGAACCUGUAAAUGUAAGAAUAUUAUACAUAUAUUAUAUUUUUUACUCAGUCCCUAAAUAUAUUAUUAAAAUACAACACUUGUGUUUUUUAUUAAUAUCGUGUUAUGAUUAAUACCUAAUUAAUGUAAAAUUAUAUGGUAUGUAAAUAUCCUUACACUGAGAAUUCGUUUGGUCAAAAUAUUACUCUCUUACUAAUAUGAAUUUGAAAACUACAGAACAUUGUUUUUUUUUAGUUUUUGUGCUAAUAUUUCCACUUAAAAUUACCGAAUAUAUUUAUGGUAUAGGUAGGAAAAGAUGAAUUUUGUGCUUUUUAAUUAUACAUUAUAUUAAUUAUAUUAUUAUUGUAAAUAAUAUCUACUGAUAUUUAAUAUAAAAAAUAGUUAUUCACAUGCAUCUAUUUUUCUUUUGUAAUUAAUACUAUCUAAAUAACAAGACAUCUUAUAUAAUAGAUCCAUUAACAUUUUAGUUUAUCAAUUAUCAAUCACUAUACGAUAUACAAUACGUAUAAUAUCUUUUAAUUAUAUCUAACUUUUAAUUAUUGAAUAUUUAAUAAACAAAUUUUUUAUAGUGUUUGUUAAAUAUUUUAUAGCAUAUACUAUUAUGUAUUUAUAAUAAUUUAUUAGUUUUAUUGCAUGAACAUAUUUUUAAAAUUUAUUAUUAAAAAAUAUUUUAUCUUUGCCUCUAACCACCUACUUCUAUAUCUCUGGCUUUUACUUUACUAUCAUCAAUGAAUCUCAAGGUUAAAUUCUGUUUUGAUGCUCUUCCGCUGUAAACUCCCCUACCACUUUCCUCUUUACCCCGCUGUCCAUAAACUAUGGUAGUGGGGGCACUCACCGAUAAAACGAUGUAGGCACCUCGAUUUUGUGAAUUUAUGAAUGACUUGCUCUAUCUAUUUUUAUUCUUAA